rnacentral:rRNA from 1 species
GACAAACGCUGGCGGCGUGCCUAACACAUGCAAGUCGAGCGCGAAAGGGACCUUCGGGUCCCCUGAGAGCGGCGAACGGGUGAGUAACACGUGGGCAACCUGCCUCAAGGACUGGGAUAACUCCGGGAAACCGGGGCUAAUACCGGGCGAUGUCGUCUGGCGCAAGCCGGCCGACCAAAUGGUAGCUUCGGCCUCCGCCUUGAGAUGGGCCCGCGUCCUAUCAGCUUGUUGGUGAGGUAAUGGCUCACCAAGGCUACGACGGGUAGCUGGUCUGAGAGGAUGAUCAGCCACACUGGGACUGAGACACGGCCCAGACUCCUACGGGAGGCAGCAGUGGGGAAUUUUGGACAAUGGGCGAAAGCCUGAUCCAGCCAUGCCGCGUGAGUGAAGAAGGCCUUCGGGUUGUAAAGCUCUUUCAGACGGAAAGAAAUGGCUUCGGUGAAUAUCCGAGGUCGAUGACGGUACCGUAAGAAGAAGCACCGGCUAACUACGUGCCAGCCGCCGCCGUAACAC